rnacentral:rRNA from 1 species
CGUACACUCCUACGGGAGGCAGCAGUGGGGAAUAUUGGACAAUGGGCGCAAGCCUGAUCCAGCCAUGCCGCGUGAGUGAUGAAGGCCCUAGGGUUGUAUAGCUCUUUCACCGGUGAAGAUAAUGACGGUAACCGGAGAAGAAGCCCCGGCUAACUUCGUGCCAGCAGCCGCGGUAAUACGAAGGGGGCUAGCGUUGUUCGGAUUUACUGGGCGUAAAGCGCACGUAGGCGGACUAUUAAGUCAGGGGUGAAAUCCCGGGGCUCAACCCCGGAACUGCCUUUGAUACUGGUAGUCUUGAGUUCGAGAGAGGUGAGUGGAAUUCCGAGUGUAGAGGUGAAAUUCGUAGAUAUUCGGAGGAACACCAGUGGCGAAGGCGGCUCACUGGCUCGAUACUGACGCUGAGGUGCGAAAGCGUGGGGAGCAAACAGGAUUAGAAACCCCGGUAGUCCCAUGAU